rnacentral:pre_miRNA from 1 species
AUUAAGGUUAUUUUUCAGUUUUUAGAUACAAUGUUUCAACUCUCGUCUUAUUUGAAAUAUUUUUAUGAUUAAUAAUUUUAUUGUUAUUAGAUGUUAAAAUAUGAAUAGUACUUUAUGUGUAACUAAUUUUUAAGUUUUUAUACAAAUUUUUUAAAUAAGACGAAUGAUCAAAACAUUACACUCAAGAAUCGAAAAAUAAAAUUAUU